AAACUGAAGAGUUUGAUCAUGGCUCAGAUUGAACGCUGGCGGCAGGCUUAACACAUGCAAGUCGAGCGGUAACAGAGAUAGCUUGCUAUCUGCUGAUGAGCGGCGGACGGGUGAGUAACGCGUAGGAAACUACCCGGUAGUGGGGGACAACCAUUGGAAACGAUGGCUAAUACCGCAUACGCUCUACGGAGGAAAGGGGGCUUCGGCUCUCGCUAUCGGAUGUGCCUGCGUGAGAUUAGCUAGUUGGUGGGGUAAAGGCCUACCAAGGCGACGAUCUCUAGCUGGUCUGAGAGGAUGAUCAGCCACACUGGGACUGAGACACGGCCCAGACUCCUACGGGAGGCAGCAGUGGGGAAUAUUGGACAAUGGGCGCAAGCCUGAUCCAGCCAUGCCGCG
rnacentral:ncRNA from 1 species